rnacentral:lncRNA from 13 species
AAUAUUUUUCGAGACAGACAUCUUUUUCUUCUUACCUAAUUCCUCUUCUGCUUCAGCUGGGGACUUUGUCUCAGUGAAUGUCUUUAGUUGUUCAGAACAGGCCAGAGAAAUCGAUUCUGUGGUUCAUUGAUUAUUAACAAGAAAACAUGACUUUUGAAUAAUACCAUAAACUGGCAAGACAAUUUUAAAUCAAAUUGUGUUUUAUUAAAUGUAUGUAUCAUCAAUACCAUUGCUUCAUGUGCCAUUAAGAAAGAAAACAUGCCAAUUAAAUAUAAUGCAUCAUCCAUUGUAAGAUGAAAUGCAAAUUCGGAGACAUUAAAAUGUGAAAAAUGUUGGAGAUCUUAGAAUUGACGUUGUUGUGGGUUUCAAUCAAGAGUCUUACACUACUGUGAACUAGCUAAUGUGAUCUCCUUCCUACACGAUUUUAUAGGGGCUCUUUUGUUAUAGAAAUGAAGCAGAUUAGCUGGGCACGGUGGCACGUGUCUGUAAUCCCAGCUACUCGGGAAGCUGAGGCAGGAGAAUUGCCUGAACCCAGGAGGCGGAGGUUGCGGUGAGCCGAGAUCGCGCCAUUGCACUCCAGCCUGGGUAACAAGAGCGAAACUCCAUCUCAAAAAAAAAAAAAAAAAAAAGAAAUGAGGCAGAGAGGAUUAAAGAAACCAGCUAAGAUCUCAUGUCCUGUUAGAGGUAGAGUGGUGGGAUUCGAACCCAGGACCCCUGGUGCUGAGCCUGGUGCUUUUCCCUGAUAAAGCAGCUUGUCUCCUUAGCAGGGUCUUCUGCUGGGAAACAGAAGAUUCAUUGUAAAGAAAGGAGAAAAUGAAACCUUGAUGAGAAAAAGAAAAAUGUGCAGACAAAUGUUAAUGUUUUCUUCGCUGUUUCUCUCUCACUCAAUGUUAACUGCCUUCUCAGGCAGAGCAUUUUACACUGUGCUCCUUAAUCCAUGCCGUGUGUCAUCAACACAGUGGAGCAUUGAUAUGAUUAUGUGGAGGGCAGAGUGGAAAGAAAAAGGAGGAAAUGCGUUCCGGUGGUUAGAUCGGCCGACUCGAUGUCAGGACUUCUGUUUCUGUUUUUGACAUGGCCGCCGACUCUGGGGACUCACUUGGUCCUUGGCUCUCUGUGGCCAUCCCUGGAACUCAAGAGACUAGAUCUGUCUCCUACUCGAAGGAGCAGUACUUUUGAUACCCUGAGACCCCUCUGAUGGCACGGGAUGUCCCCAAAAUGGAAAAGUCAUAAUACUGUGCACAGCCAAAGCAAACUUCACAGUUGGCCCAUACUUCCUUAUCUACAAAACAGAGGACAUUUUGUAGAUGUCAUGCUUUUUGGGGACCAAUUUCAAUCAUGAGAAUAAAAUCUACUUUUAAUUUUGUGACGCA